CGUGUGCCAUACCUUUAACUUAAUACAGAAGAGACAAGGAUCUGUAACGUUGGAAAUCCAAAGAGCCUCAGAACACAAGAAAAGCAAAUGAACGAGGACAACAACAUUAGUGUUGUACUAAAACACAAGAAAAUGAAGAAAGCUGUCAACAUUCACACACUUCCGGAGUGCGAGAGUAUGAAACUUGAUUCAUUGCCUCAGAUUCAAGAUCCAAUAUUUAAGGAUUUAGAAGAGUUGUUCGAGAAGGUCAAGGCAAAAGUUGAGGCUCUUAAAGCUGCUGGAACUAGUAAUGCUGGUACUACCCAGUUCCAUGACAUGCCCGACUCUACACCUGACGAGACACAUCCACUCGAAAAGACAACUGAAAACAAAGAGUUGGACUGCCUUUGCGGUGAACCGUCUCAAAAAUCAGAAGAGACUGCUGACACUUCCCCACUCCGUGUUCGUAACGGAGAAGAUAUCAAGGAGCUCUCCUCUUGCAAAGCAAUUCUCAAAGAGUAUGCAGACAAGAUCAAUGUUGAGAAUCCUAAUUAUAGAACGGAGAAAGCAAAUGGUUCAAAUUCAACAUUUAUUUCAUCCUUAUCUUUUAAUGGCAAGCUAUAUGUUGGAGACGAAGGAAGGAACAAGAAAGAGUCUCAGCAUUUGGCAGCACGUGCUGUUAUUCUGUCUAUUUUAGAUUCUGAUGCACCCGAAGUUAUUUCUAAGAUCAUCAAGUCAAAAGAACAGAUGCUUUGCCCUUCGAGGGGUAAAGUUCAGAAUCCAUGCAACGCUUAUAAUAUGGGUAUGCCUGCGAGGAUACAGACAGGAUGUGAUGUUGGCACCAGUUCAAGUAAAGGGAAUGAGCUAGAAGUUGUGCUGAGUGACUGCAUGCUCAAGACAGCUACUCGAGAUCCCAGCACUAAGAGUUCUUCUGGUGUUUCAGCAAAACCUGUUUUCCUUGUUGAGGAGCUCUCCUCUUGCAAAGCAAUUCUUAAAGAGUAUGCAGAUAAGAUAAAUGCAGAGAACCCUAGUUAUAAAACAGAGAAAGCAGAUGGUUCAGAUUUAGCAUUUGUUUCAUCUUUGACAUUUAAUGGCAAACAAUAUGUUGGGGACAAAGGCAGGAACAAGAAACAGUCUCAGCACUUGGCAGCGCGUGCUGUUAUCCUGUCUAUUUUAGAUUCUGAUGCACACAAUGUUAUUUCUAAGAUUAUCAAGUCAAAAGAAAAGAUGCUUUGCCCUGCAAAGGGUAAAGUUCAGAAUUCAUGCAACACUCAGAAUGUGGGUAUGCCUGCGGGGAUACAUACAGGAUAUAAUAUACGCACCAGUUCAAGUAAAGGGAAUGAGCUCGAAGUUGUGCCGAAUGAUAACAUGCUUAAGGGAGCUUCUCAGGAGCCUUGCACUGGGAAUUCGUCUAGUGUUACAGCAAAAUCCGUCUCCCUUGUUGAGGCUAGUGCUACUACAACUUUAAUUGUGCCUUCAAAUGUGGAACCACUGAUUGUUGGCUCAACAUCUUCGAAAAAGAGAAAGCGCAAGGCUAAGAAAGCUAAGCAUGAAGUCGGAAUUAAUGCUCACAGGGUACAGGUUGCUGCAGUGCCAUCAAGUCAAACUACGACAUCUGCAGUGCCAGGUUCUGUCAAUGCUGUAUUAUCUGGAAGUUGAUUUUUAAGUGUGUAGUGAAAUCUGAAGCUCUGGAUCCUAUUGUUCUCCUUUCUUAUGUCGUUUACCUUAAUCUCCUUCAGUUUUGUAAUCAUGGACGUGGCUGAACUUGAAAUAUUGUACGCAAUCAGUGUUUAGUAGGAGAUACAAUUUGGAGCUGACUGUCAACAUCAAAUUAAGGUAGCAAAGCGCAAAGGCAACAUAUACCUCUGGCAACAAAGGAUCUAAACAACAGCCUGAGAAUUCUUUAAGAGUGCCUCUUCGUAAAUAAGCACCGCUCGACUCAUGUAUUAUUAGCUUUUAUGCAAUUAAAAAGUCUGUCUCGACUUGAUUCAUUCUAUAAAAGAACAAGUUCGGCUCAGAUUUGUUUGUUAACGGUCCUAAAAAUCAUUAUGACCGGAAGCUUAAGUGAGAUCUUUAGUAACUUGAUUCAUCUUUGUUUUACGAUUUUAAAGUAUCUCAUCUCUUUUGAUUAUAAUUUGGUUUGGCUGUUGAGAGGUAUCACAAUUUAUAUUGUGAUCUGAUCUCAAAUAUCUGAUUAUUCUGAUUAUUCAGCCAAGACCAGCCGUAUCUUCAAGCUAGAGAGGCAGCUAUCGCGGUCUUUGUAAGGAGGAACCUCCAGAGCUGCCUUACAAAGACCACGUUAAAAAGUCCUUACAAUGGCCUUCAACACUAUUUUCAACAUCUAUACUGCCAUGUCUUUUAAAAUGGGAUAUGAGGCUUGUGUUUCAAUGAUCAGAGAGGGAAAGGCUUUUGACAGUUCCAAACAUGGCUGGGAUGUGGACCUUGUAGUCGAAAUGGAGAAGAUGGCGAAUGCUGGGCCGGAGUCGCUUCAAGGGGGAGAGGGAUCCGAGGUCCAAUAUACAGAGCCAAAAGGGCCAGAAGAUGAUGAAAUGCCGCUUCAUGAGCCUCAAAGAAUGAAGCUAAGUUUCACUCACAUAAGAGUCCGUGGAAUGCAAUGCAGUUGGUUCUUAAAUUUGAAAUAAUCACUAAUCUGUUGCUUGGCUGUGGUUCUGACUUGCCUAAAUGUAAAAAUUAUAAUUGCAAUAGCCGAUCGCAUUAUAUACAACAAUCCGAGUUCUUCAACGAUGAAUAUGCUGUUUCAGUUGCAUCAAAUUGUUUUGCCUCAGACUUGAGACUUGAGACUGCAUUUAAGCAAGAAGCGCAGUGGCUUAAUGCAGUCUGCGUUAACUUGGAAGCUACUUCGGGUUCUUUGUCUAUUAUCACACUUGUUAAAACUUGUUCUGUAUCCGUCGAUGAAGCAUGUUUCUUGUUAUGUAAGUUCACAUGAUGUACUAAAAUCCUAACGGAGCACACGGAGAUUGUGGUUGCACUGUCCCUGUAACUGUGCAGGGAAAGAGGGUGGAACACAGAAGUGUGUGAUAUACAUUUCCAAUCUGAUCAUGUUUUCUUAAAAAGAAAGCGAAAAAAAGUCCAUAAUUCUUUU